UGCGCAGGCGGUUUUGUAAGUCAGAUGUGAAAUCCCCGGGCUUAACCUGGGAACUGCAUUUGAGACUGCAAGGCUAGAGUGUGGCAGAGGGGGGUAGAAUUCCACGUGUAGCAGUGAAAUGCGUAGAGAUGUGGAGGAAUACCGAUGGCGAAGGCAGCCCCCUGGGCCAAUACUGACGCUCAUGCACGAAAGCGUGGGGAGCAAACAGGAUUAGAUACCCUGGUAGUCCACGCCCUAAACGAUGUCAACUAGGUGUUGGAGGGGUUAAACCCUUUAGUGCCGUAGCUAACGCGUGAAGUUGACCGCCUGGGGAGUACGGCCGCAAGGCUAAA
rnacentral:rRNA from 1 species